rnacentral:rRNA from 1 species
AACGAACGCUGGCGGCAGGCCUAACACAUGCAAGUCGAGCGCGCCCUUCGGGGUGAGCGGCGGACGGGUUAGUAACGCGUGGGAAUAUACCCGACACUAAGGAAUAGCCUCUGGAAACGGAGAGUAAUACCUUAUACGCCCUUCGGGGGGAAAGAUUUAUCGGUGACGGAUUAGCCCGCGUUAGAUUAGAUAGUUGGUGGGGUAAUGGCCUACCAAGUCUACGAUCUAUAGCUGGUUUUAGAGGAUGAUCAGCAACACUGGGACUGAGACACGGCCCAGACUCCUACGGGAGGCAGCAGUGGGGAAUCUUGGACAAUGGGCGCAAGCCUGAUCCAGCCAUGCCGCGUGAGUGAUGAAGGCCUUAGGGUCGUAAAGCUCUUUCGCCAGAGAUGAUAAUGACAGUAUCUGGUAAAGAAACCCCGGCUAACUCCGUGCCAGCAGCCGCGGUAAUACGGAGGGGGUUAGCGUUGUUCGGAAUUACUGGGCGUAAAGCGCGCGUAGGCGGAUUAGUAAGUUAGAGGUGAAAUCCCGGGGCUCAACCCCGGAACUGCCUUUAAUACUGCUAGUCUUGAGUUCGAGAGAGGUGAGUGGAAUUCCGAGUGUAGAGGUGAAAUUCGUAGAUAUUCGGAGGAACACCAGUGGCGAAGGCGGCUCACUGGCUCGAUACUGACGCUGAGGUGCGAAAGUGUGGGGAGCAAACAGGAUUAGGUACCCUGGUAGUCCACACCGUAAACGAUGAAUGCCAGUCGUCGGGUAGCAUGCUAUUCGGUGACACACCUAACGGAUUAAGCAUUCCGCCUGGGGAGUACGGUCGCAAGAUUAAAACUCAAAGGAAUUGACGGGGGCCCGCGCAAGCGGUG